UACGUAGGGGCUAGCGUUGUCCGGAAUCAUUGGGCGUAAAGAGCGUGUAGGCGGCUCGGUAAGUCCGCUGUGAAAGUCCAGGGCUCAACCCCUGGAAUGCCAGUGGAAACUGUCGAGCUAGAGUCCGGAAGAGGCGAGUGGAAUUCCUGGUGUAGCGGUGAAAUGCGCAGAUAUCAAGGAGGAACACCAGUGGCGAAGGCGGUGCUCUGGGCCGGUACUGACGCUGAGGAGCGAAAGCGUGGGUAGCAAACAGG
rnacentral:rRNA from 1 species